GAGCAAGCGUUGUUCGGAUUUACUGGGCGUAAAGCGUGCGCAGGCGGUUUUGUAAGUCCGAUGUGAAAUCCCCGGGCUUAACCUGGGAACUGCGUUUGAAACUACAAGGCUAGAGUGUGGCAGAGGGGGGUGGAAUUCCACGUGUAGCAGUGAAAUGCGUAGAGAUGUGGAGGAACACCGAUGGCGAAGGCAGCCCCCUGGGUUAACACUGACGCUCAGGCACGAAAGCGUGGGGAGCAAACAGG
rnacentral:rRNA from 1 species